rnacentral:sRNA from 1 species
AUUAUAUAUAAAAGUUUUGCAAAUUGUAUCAUUCUCUAAUACAUUUAUAUUUU